rnacentral:rRNA from 1 species
UACAGAGGUGGCAAGCGUUGUUCGGAAUUACUGGGCGUAAAGGGCGCGUAGGCGGCCUUCUAAGUCAGACGUGAAAUCCCCCGGCUUAACCUGGGAACUGCGUCUGAUACUGGGAGGCUUGAGUAUGGGAGAGGGAUGUAGAAUUCCAGGUGUAGCGGUGAAAUGCGUAGAUAUCUGGAGGAAUACCGGUGGCGAAGGCGGCUUUCUGGACAAAUACCGACGCUGAGGCACGAAAGCUAGGGGAGCAAACAGG